rnacentral:rRNA from 1 species
GACGAACGCUGGCGGCGUGCCUAAUACAUGCAAGUCGAACGCACAGUUUAUACCGUAGCUUGCUACACCAUAGACUGUGAGUUGCGAACGGGUGAGUAACGCGUAGGUAACCUGCCUGGUAGUGGGGGAUAACUAUUGGAAACGAUAGCUAAUACCGCAUAAUAUUAAUUAUUGCAUGAUAAUUAAUUGAAAGGUGCAAUUGCACCACUACCAGAUGGACCUGCGUUGUAUUAGCUAGUAGGUGAGGUAACGGCUCACCUAGGCGACGAUACAUAGCCGACCUGAGAGGGUGAUCGGCCACACUGGGACUGAGACACGGCCCAGACUCCUACGGGAGGCAGCAGUAGGGAAUCUUCGGCAAUGGACGAAAGUCUGACCGAGCAACGCCGCGUGAGUGAAGAAGGUUUUCGGAUCGUAAAGCUCUGUUGUAAGAGAAGAACGGGUGUGAGAGUGGAAAGUUCACACUGUGACGGUAUCUUACCAGAAAGGGACGGCUAACUACGUG